UUAAGGUGGACUCUUAAACCACAGAGAUAAUUCGUACACAAGGAAUUGUUGAAACUCAUCACAACUAAUUUGCAUAACCGCAACCUUUCUGCCUGAAGUCAUUAACGAUUAUUAUGUGGUAGUUAUAAAGAGAAUCCUGUAAAUGCUGUUUUAAAGUAAAAAUCAACAACCGUCAAAAUACAAGUUCUAUCCGGAUCAGAAACAAGAGGAUGUUGGAUUCCAAAUACUUUGCUAUAUUUGUAUUAAACAUUAUGAUAAACAAUAUUUUUGGAAGUGUAAUCCCAACUGUUGGAACCGAGACAUUAACGAAUUCCACAAAUACAUCACAAGUUCACUUGGGGGAUAAUGUUCUGGGUCAAGCUCUGGACAUUAACAUUAAUGUUGAGGCAAAGAUUAAAGAGCCUGUCACCGCUAGUCUGGAUUUAAGUAAAGUCAAUCUAAAAGUGCUUUGUUCGAUUUUCAAAGAUUUAUGUCAAAACCAGUAUGACAGUUGGGGUGGAUAAAGAAACAGAAGAAGAAUUUUAUGUUGAUGUAUGUAAAAAUUUAAAAAAAAAAAAAGGAAAGAAAACAAUAAACAAAUUAUCGCAUUUAAAA